AGUGAACGCUGGCGGUAGGCCUAACACAUGCAAGUCGAACGGCAGCACAGUAAGAGCUUGCUCUUACGGGUGGCGAGUGGCGGACGGGUGAGGUAUACAUCGGAAUCUACUUUUUCGUGGGGGAUAACGUAGGGAAACUUACGCUAAUACCGCAUACGACCUACGGGUGAAAGCAGGGGAUCUUCGGACCUUGCGCGAUUGAAUGAGCCGAUGUCGGAUUAGCUAGUUGGCGGGGUAAAGGCCCACCAAGGCGACGAUCCGUAGCUGGUCUGAGAGGAUGAUCAGCCACACUGGAACUGAGACACGGUCCAGACUCCUACGGGAGGCAGCAGUGGGGAAUAUUGGACAAUGGGCGCAAGCCUGAUCCAGCCAUACCGCGUGGGUGAAGAAGGCCUUCGGGUUGUAAAGCCCUUUUGUUGGGAAAGAAAAGCAGCAGGUUAAUACCCCGCUGUUCUGACGGUACCCAAAGAAUAAGCACCGGCUAACUUCGU
rnacentral:rRNA from 1 species